UGGGGAAUCUUGGACAAUGGGCGCAAGCCUGAUCCAGCCAUGCCGCGUGAGUGACGAAGGCCUUAGGGUUGUAAAGCUCUUUUGGUGGGGAAGAUAAUGACGGUACCCACAGAAUAAGCUCCGGCUAACUUCGUGCCAGCAGCCGCGGUAAUACGAAGGGAGCUAGCGUUGUUCGGAAUUACUGGGCGUAAAGCGCACGUAGGCGGACUGGUCAGUUGGGGGUGAAAUCCCAGGGCUCAACCCUGGAACUGCCUCCAAUACUGCCAGUCUCGAGUCCGGAAGAGGUGAGUGGAAUUCCUAGUGUAGAGGUGAAAUUCGUAGAUAUUAGGAAGAACACCAGUGGCGAAGGCGGCUCACUGGUCCGGUACUGACGCUGAGGUGCGAAAGCGUGGGGAGCAAACAGGAUUAGAUACCCCCGUAGUCC
rnacentral:rRNA from 1 species